rnacentral:rRNA from 1 species
UACGUAGGGACCAAGCGUUGUCCGGAAUCAUUGGGCGUAAAGAGCGUGUAGGCGGCUUGUUAAGUCUUGCGUGAAAUCUCGGGCUCAACCCGAGCGGUCGUGAGAAACUGGCAGGCUAGAGUGCGGGAGAGGAGAGUGGAAUUCCUGGUGUAGCGGUGAAAUGCGCAGAUAUCAGGAAGAACACCCGUGGCGAAGGCGGCUCUCUGGACGGUACUGACGCUGAGACGCGAAAGCGUGGGGAGCGAACAGG